rnacentral:tRNA from 1 species
UUUGAAAUGGCAGAAUUUAUGCGUUAGAUUUAAAGUCUUAUUAUGAAGUUUAUUUCUUUCAAAU